CAGCCGCCGCGGUAAUACGUAGGGGGCGAGCUUUACCCGGAUUCACUGGGCGUAAAGCGGGUGUAGGCGGCUCGGUAAGUCGGGUGUGAAAUCCCACAGCUCAACUGUGGAAUUGCGCCCGAAACUGCUGAGCUUGGGGCCGGUAGAGGGAGACGGAACUGCCGGUGUAGGGGUGAAAUCCGUAGAUAUCGGCAGGAACGCCGGUGGGGAAGCCGGUCUCCUGGGCCGCGCCCGACGCUGAGACCCGAAAGCUAGGGGAGCAAACCGGAUUAGAUACCCGGGUAGUCCUAGCCGUAAACGAUGCUCACUAGGUGUGGGGGAUUAAUUCCUCCGUGCUGGAGCUAACGCGAUAAGUGGGCCGCCUGGGGAGUACGCCCGCAAGGGUGAAACUUAAAGGAAUUGGCGGG
rnacentral:rRNA from 1 species